rnacentral:rRNA from 1 species
UACAGAGGGUGCAAGCGUUUAAUCGGAAUUACUGGGCGUAAAGCGUGCGUAGGCGGGUCUUUUAAGUCAGGGGUGAAAUCCUGGAGCUCAACUCCAGAACUGCCUUCGAUACUGGCGAUCUCGAGUUCGGGAGAGGUGAGUGAAACUGCGAGUGUAGAGGUGAAAUUCGUAGAUAUUCGCAAGAACACCAGUGGCGAAGGCGGCUCACUGGCCCGAUACUGACGCUGAGGUGCGAAAGCGUGGGGAGCAAACAGGG